UUAGUCUGGCCCCGCAGGACCUUUCUUAUGCUAGAGUCAUAAAAUAUGCACAAGAGGAGAAGCAGAGCUGCAGUUGAGGUUAACAGGGGAGCAAAAGGCCCUCAAAAGUAAUUUGGAAGAGAUGAAGAAAGCCAUGUUUUCCUUCCACACGACCUCAGUGAUCUGUCACCCUGUGGAAAUUCCUGUAGAGAAAUCUUUCCCCCUGUCUUUCAGAAUACUCUGCUUUACCCCAGGAGACUUUGUCGAUGGCCAGAGCUUGAAUUUCUAGAAGUACCUGGUCCUUUUCAUUACUGUUCACAAGGAAUGGCUGAUAGGUGGUGCUGUGAACAUUGUGCAAGGUCCAUGCUCAGCAUGUGUCCAGGGAGUUCAAUUUGUGUUAGGAAGCAAUUUAUUACCACCUGGAAAGCCUUGAGGUUAAUGGUAUCAACUAGAUUCUAGAGAAAUCUGAGACUGCAGUGCUCACACCACCAGUAAUGAAGAAAAUGCUUGUGUCCAUGUUUAAGGAAGAGGAAUUCCCCAAUUAUCCUUCACGCCCUCUCACACUAAAUUACAGGCAUGGGCAUUGCCUCAGAGUUGGGGAGGAGGGAAGUAUGUUCACUCCACUCCUUCACCUAUCAGCGGGAAUAGAGAUCCGUGCUCCUCCCUGCAAGGCCACUGGACCAACCAUCCCCAUCCCUGCUGAUAGUCUCAUCUUUGGUAGCCCCUGCCUUAAAUAAAGCCCUACAUUUAGGACACUCCUCCCCCCUUCCAGCUUGCUCCUUCUCCCUUGGCCAGGCAAGUGGAUUGGCUACCCAAUCUCUGGCCUCCCAAGGGCCUUUUCCUCCAACUCCACCCCCCUCACUAGCAUUUCAACACAGUGCUGCAGCAGUGGGGCCGACAUCAUCAUCAUUCUGUCUCCACCACUCUGCUGCCUCUCAGACUGCACCAGGUCACCCCACAGCAGCCAUCACCCGCCUCUCUGAGCCCUUCCUAUCUUCUGGGAGGGAAUUGCUGGGGUUGUCCCGGCAACCCCAGUCUCCUGCCUCUCUCGGCAUGUCACCAUUUGACUGGCUAAACAACCCUGUUUCAUGGAGGAGGGUGGGAACUCCCAGCAGCUUGCUUUAUUGAGUACACCUGAGUGGCCAGUGGCUUGAAAGAUCAGACUGUGGCUGCACCCGCUGAGGCAUAUAUUAUGGCCUUCUCUGAACAUCUUAAAACACACCUUUUAAAGGAAGAUUUUUAAUGCUCCAAUUUUUUAAUUUUUUAAAAAUAUCUGAGAGAAUGUGGAAGAAAAAUGAUGCAACAUCCGAAUAUCUCAGGGGAAGUGAUGUAACAUCAGAGAAUCUCAGGGGAAAUUAUGUAAAUCUCCAAAUUUCUAAAUUGUGUGGUGACCCACAUGUCAAUAAAGUCAUGAUUUAGGCUUUGAUGACCUCUUUGAUGACUUCACAAGUGACUGAAAGCACAAUCACCACCAGGAAAAUUACGCCAAGAAGCAGCGCAAAAGAGAAUCCCACCUUUGCUCAACUGCAACUGAAAAUUUGCAUACUGUGCUUCUUUGCACCUGGAGGUUUCCACCCCUUUGAACUGAGCUGACGUCCCCCACACAAUGAUAAUAAAAAGUUCACCUUUUGAAACUGGCAAAUUCCUUACAGAGUUAUAAAGUAAUAGAGAUAGAAGACAGACCACAGAGGGAAAAAAUGAUUCUCCACCAAACUGCUUCUUCAGAACUCUCUUAUCAACACCUUUGUGUGAACUGGAGAAACUCAAACUAGAUAGUCUUUAAAAAAUGUAAUAUCUAACCUAAAGAAGAAUUUGUAAGCCACAUUUUCAAUAUUUAAAAAUGGUUGA